rnacentral:rRNA from 1 species
AGUGAACGCUGGCGGCGUGCCUAACACAUGCAAGUCGAACGAUGAUGGAGGAGCUUGCUCUUCCUGAUUAGUGGCGCACGGGUGAGUAAUGCAUAGAUAAUAUGCCCCUUAGUUCGGGAUAGCCACUGGAAACGGUGAUUAAUACCGGAUACUCCUUCUUACUAUAAGGUAAGUCGGGAAAGUUUUUCGCUAAGGGAUCAGUCUAUGUCCCAUCAGUUUGUUGGUGAGGUAAUGGCUCACCAAGACUAUGACGGGUAUCUGGUUUGAGAGGAUGAUCCGACACACUGGAACUGAGACGCGGUCCAGACUCCUACGGGAGGCAGCAGUGAGGAAUAUUGCACAAUGGAGGAAACUCUGAUGCAGCAACGCCGCGUGGAGGAUGACGCAUUUCGGUGUGUAAACUCCUUUUAAGAGGGAAGAUUAUGACGGUACCUCUUGAAUAAGCACCGGCUAACUCCGUGCCAGCCGCCACAGUAA